rnacentral:sRNA from 1 species
UGGUGCUCACCUGUAAUCCCAGCUACUUGGGAAGCUGAGGCUCUUGGAUCACUUGA